CGCUUGGAGAUCGGCCCGCGGUCCAUUAGCUAGUUGGUGAGGUAACGGCUCACCAAGGCGACGAUGGGUAGCUGGUCUGAGAGGACGAUCAACCACACUGGGACUGAGAUAUGAUCCAGACUCCUACGGGGAGUUAGCAUCCGGGACUCUUGCACAAUGGGCGCAAGCCUGAUGCAGCGACGCCGCGUGGGUGAUGAAGGUCUGCGGAUCGUAGAGCCCUGUCAGGAGGGAAGACACCCGACUGUACCUCCAAAGGAAGCUCCGGCUAACUACGUGCCAUCAGUCCGCGGUAAAACGUAGGGAGCUAGCGUUGUCCGGAAUUACUGGGCGUAAAGGGCACGCAGGCGGUCUGAAAAGCGGUGGGUGCAAUCUCGAGGCUCAACUUCGAAACUGCUCGCCGAACUAUCAGACUAGACCAUGGGAGAGGACAGUGGAAUUCCCGGUGUACCGGUGGAAUGCGUAUAUAUCGGGAGGAACACCAGUGGCGAAGGCUGCUGUCUGGAACAUUGCUGACGCUGAGGUGCUAAAGCCAGGGGAGCGAACGGGAUUAGAUACCCCGGUAUUCCUGGCCGUAAACGAUGCUCACUAGGUGUUACCGGCAUCAACCCCGGUAGUGCUGUUCUGCUAACGCGUUAAGUGACCCGCCUGGGGAGCACGGCCGCAAGGCUGAAACUCAAAGGAAUUGACGGGGGCCCGCACAAGCGGUGGAGCAUGUGGGUCAAUUGGAUGCUACGCCAAGAACCUUACCAGGGCUUGACAUGUUGGGGCCCGCCCGAGAGAUCAGGCUUUCUCCGCAAGGAGACCCCAUCACAGGUGGUGCAUCGGCUGUCGUCAGCUCGUGUCGUGAGAUGUUGGGUUCAGUCCCGCAACGAGCGCAACCCUCACCGGAUGUUGCCAUCGGUUCGGCCGGGCACUUUUCCGGAACUGCCUGAG
rnacentral:rRNA from 1 species